UACGAAGGGGGCUAGCGUUGCUCGGAAUCACUGGGCGUAAAGCGCACGUAGGCGGCUUUUUAAGUCAGGGGUGAAAUCCUGGAGCUCAACUCCAGAACUGCCUUUGAUACUGGGAAGCUUGAGUCCGGAAGAGGUGAGUGGAACUCCGAGUGUAGAGGUGAAAUUCGUAGAUAUUCGCAAGAACACCAGUGGCGAAGGCGGCUGACUGGUCCGGUUCUGACGCUGAGGCGCGAAAGCGUGGGGAGCAAACAGG
rnacentral:rRNA from 1 species